rnacentral:lncRNA from 1 species
AUGCAGCAGAGGAAACCGGCUCACAGGACCUGCCUUCUUAGGCCGAGAAGAGGGAGCUGGGCCAGAAGAGGCCCUUCUCAGGGUGCCCUGAGAGUGAGCAGACAUGUGUCCAGCCUUCACUGUCCAUUCCUGCUGAAGGUGAAUGGUGGGUUUCUGGGAGCUGUAAUUGUUUUUUUGAGAAAACCUGCUAUCACACUGAUAAGCUGCCUGUCAAAGGAUGUUAUUUCUGGAUGGGAGGAGAGUCCACGGGGCUGGGGCUUCUUCCUGUCUGCACCGCGUGGGUCCACUGCCUCCCACCGGACCUGACUUGAAUGAUAACCAGGGGACAGCCACAGCCUGCUGCUGCUCAAGGCCUCCACGGUGCUGCAGGGCCAGCUAUCUCAGGACCCUGGAUUCCUGGAAUUGUCUGACAGAGUGGAAGUCUGUUCUCCAUCCCCUGACAAGCCGCACACUCCAAAACAGGACUGUCUUCAGUGACGAUUCUUUUUGUCACCAGUGAAGCUGGCCUUGUCCAGAGAGCAACAUGGUCUCAGCUAGUCAAC